AAUCAACGCUGGCGGCGUGCCUAACACAUGCAAGUCGAACGAGAAGGUGACUUCGGUCACUGGAUAGUGGCGUCCGGGUGAGUAACACGUAGGUAAUCUACCUUCGGGUGGGGAAUAACGUCUCGAAAGAGACGCUAAUACCGCAUAAUGCAGCGGCACCUAAUGGUGAUUAGUUGUUAAAGCGGGGGAGUCUUCGGACCUCGCGCCUGAAGAGGAGCCUGCGGCAGAUUAGCUAGUUGGUGAGGUAAUGGCUCACCAAGGCUUCGAUCUGUAGCUGGUCUGAGAGGACGGCCAGCCACACUGGCACUGACACACGGGCCAGACUCCUACGGGAGGCAGCAGUGGGGAAUUUUGGACAAUGGGGCAACCCUGAUCCAGCCAUGCCGCGUGGCGGGAAGAAGGCC
rnacentral:rRNA from 1 species